AGAGCGAACGCUGGCGGCAGGCCUAACACAUGCAAGUCGAGCGCCCAGCAAUGGGAGCGGCAGACGGGAUAGUAACACGUGGGAACGUACCUUUCAGUUCGGAACAACCCAGGGAAACUUGGGCUAAUACCGAAUACGCCCGUAAGGGGAAAGAUUUAUCGCUGAAAGAUCGGCCCGCGUCUGAUUAGCUAGUUGGUGGGGUAAUGGCCCACCAAGGCGACGAUCAGUAGCUGGUCUGAGAGGAUGAUCAGCAUCACUGGGACUGAGACACGGCCCAGACUCCUACGGGAGGCAGCAGUGGGGAAUAUUGGACAAUGGGCGCAAGCCUGAUCCAGCCAUGCCGCGUGGAUGAUGAAGGCCCUAGGGUUGUAAAGUCCGUUUCGGCGGGGAAGAGUAAUGGACGGUACCCGCAGAAGAAGCCCCGGCUAACUUCGCGCCAGCAGCCGC
rnacentral:rRNA from 1 species